GAUGAACACUGACAGAAUGCUUAACACAUGCAAGUCAACUUGAACUUCGGUUUGGGUGGCGGACGGGUGAGUAACGCGUAAAGAACUUGCCUCACAGUUAGGGACAACAUUUGGAAACGAAUGCUAAUACCUGAUAUUAUGAUUUUAGGGCAUCCUAGAAUUAUGAAAGCUAUAUGCGCUGUGAGAGAGCUUUGCGUCCCAUUAGCUAGUUGGAGAGGUAACGGCUCACCAAGGCGAUGAUGGGUAGCCGGCCUGAGAGGGUGAACGGCCACAAGGGGACUGAGACACGGCCCUUACUCCUACGGGAGGCAGCAGUGGGGAAUAUUGGACAAUGGACCAAGAGUCUGAUCCAGCAAUUCUGUGUGCACGAUGAAGUUUUUCGGAAUGUAAAGUGCUUUCAGUUGGGAAGAAAAAAAUGACGAUACCAACAGAAGAAGUGACGGCUAAAUACGUG
rnacentral:rRNA from 1 species